GCCGUCGUCGUAGUGACUGUUUUCGUUCGCUCAAAACCAUGACGAUACCACACGAACGCACUGCGAUCAUCAUUAGAUCACAUAGCGUUUGAGUGAAAAUAUUUGUCCAAAAUAAAUUUCAUUCAGCAGUUUUGUAUUGCUAUUGAAAGUUAAAACAUUGUAACUGUCUGUAUAUACGCUAUAGCGGGUGAUAAAUGUAGUGAUACUUUAUUUAAAAAUUUUACACGUUUUUAUGUUUGCCAGAUGUAUUCUAUGUAUAUAUUUUUAAAUUUAUUUAUGUGUAAGGCACGAAUAUUAUAAAACCGACCUGGAAUGUUGAACAUUAAAAAAAUCCACUCUAUUGGACAAUUUAUGGAAAAGACACAACCGUAAUCAAGGGCAUCGAUGACGUAGCCAAGCGCGAGAAUCGGAAAUUGCUAGAGGAAUGAUCACUGCCAAUAGCUGGUGGAACAUUGAUCAUAAUCAUCAGUAAAUUCAUAAAGAAGAAUUGGUUUAAAAGCAUUGCUUUUUGGAUUUCGUUGCAACUGGAAUUGGAUGAAUUCAACACAAAUAUCAAAAAAAAAAUUUGAACACAAACAUUGCCGGCAACGCAAACGCCAACAACAAUCAAUGCAAUAGUGAGUUCGCCGAAAUCAUGUCAGUACGAAAAGGAAUGUAAGCAUUAGACUGGCUCCCAAAACACAAAAGUUGAAAUUUUUUCGCUCCCACCCCGGAAUACUUUUCUAUAUGGUGUGCAAAUAAGAUAGUAUAAAAAACCAUAUCGACUAAAAAUUGAUGGUAAUCGUCAUUUUCUAUCAAACACUUGCCACUGGUGCAAAAGAGACGGAAGGAAAUUGAGCGUCGAAUUCGCAAUGUCAAUCAGGAUGUAGAGAGAAUACUUCGGAAUGGGCGUUUAAUGUCAAAAGUUAAAGUUACCUACAAAAAUUGGCCAUUAAAUAUUCAGGGUGAUGUUGCUGAUCCACAGACAGUUGUUUGGCACCGAGAUAUUUAUGCUGCAAAAUGCAAUUGAAAAUAGAGUCUAUUCAUUUUUUAAUGUUUCUGCUUCAAAUUACACAGGACUUUGUCGGAUGUUUGGCGUACUGGUGCCUGAUUCGUUGACUGACAAGCAGCAGCAUUGAAUCCAUAAAUUAUUGGAUAAGAGCGUAGCUAGGCUUGACACCAUUUGGGUCACACAAAUUUUGUGGCCUUGUUGUGCGUUCAUAAGAACAAUACAAUGGUUGUACGGAGGGAAGGAGCCCGGGCUACGGCCGUAGAUGAAUUUAUUGUAACCCAUAAAUUUAAAAUACAAAUGGUAACUUCAAGUGAAAUCAUAUUCCAAUGUGC